rnacentral:rRNA from 1 species
CAGUCGCCGCGGUAAAACGGAAGGUCCAGGCGUUAUCCGGAUUUAUUGGGUUUAACGGGAGUGUAGGCGGUCUGUUAGGCGUGUUGUGAAAUUUAGGUGCUCAACAUUUAACUUGCAGCGCGAACUGGCGGACUUGAGUGCACGCAACGUAUGCGGAAUUCAUGGUGUAGCGGUGAAAUGCUUAGAUAUCAUGACGAACUCCGAUUGCGAAGGCAGCGUACGGGAGUGUUACUGACGCUUAAGCUCGAAGGUGCGAGUAUCGAACAGGAUUAGAUACCCCGGUAGUCCCUGUCUCUUAUAC